UACGGAGGGUGCAAGCGUUAUCCGGAUUCACUGGGUUUAAAGGGUGCGUAGGUGGGCAAGUAAGUCAGUGGUGAAAUCUCCGGGCUUAACCCGGAAACUGCCAUUGAUACUAUUUGUCUUGAAUACUGUGGAGGUCAGCGGAAUAUGUCAUGUAGCGGUGAAAUGCUUAGAUAUGACAUAGAACACCAAUUGCGAAGGCAGCUGGCUACACAAAUAUUGACUCUGAGGCACGAAAGCGUGGGGAUCAAACAGG
rnacentral:rRNA from 1 species